GUGAGUAGCACGUGGAUAACCUACCUAUAAGACUGGGAUAACUUCGGGAAACCGGAGCUAAUACCGGAUAACAUGUUGAACCGCAUGGUUCAACAGUGAAAGACGGUCUUGCUGUCACUUAUAGAUGGAUCCGCGCCGCAUUAGCUAGUUGGUAAGGUAACGGCUUACCAAGGCAACGAUGCGUAGCCGACCUGAGAGGGUGAUCGGCCACACUGGAACUGAGACACGGUCCAG
rnacentral:rRNA from 1 species